rnacentral:rRNA from 1 species
UUGUUGGAGAGUUUGAUCCUGGCUCAGGACGAACGCUGGCGGCGUGCUUAACACAUGCAAGUCGAACGAUGAAGCCUAGCUUGCUGGGUGGAUUAGUGGCGAACGGGUGAGUAACACGUGAGUAACCUGCCCCUUACUCUGGGAUAAGCGCUGGAAACGGCGUCUAAUACUGGAUAUUACCUUUCAUCGCAUGGUGUUUGGUGGAAAGAUUUUUCGGUUUGGGAUGGACUCGCGGCCUAUCAGCUUGAUGGUGAGGUAGUGGCUCACCAUGGCGACGACGGGUAGCCGGCCUGAGAGGGUGACCGGCCACACUGGGACUGAGACACGGCCCAGACUCCUACGGGAGGCAGCAGUGGGGAAUAUUGCACAAUGGGCGCAAGCCUGAUGCAGCAACGCCGCGUGAGGGAUGACGGCCUUCGGGUUGUAAACCUCUUUUAGUAGGGAAGAAGCGUAAGUGACGGUACCUACAGAAAAAGCACCGGCUAACUACGUGCCAGCAGCCGCGGUAAUACGUAGGGUGCAAGCGUUGUCCGGAAUUAUUGGGCGUAAAGAGCUCGUAGGCGGUUUGUCGCGUCUGCUGUGAAAUCCUAAGGCUCAACCUUAGACUUGCAGUGGGUACGGGCAGGCUUGAGUGCGGUAGGGGAGAUUGGAAUUCCUGGUGUAGCGGUGGAAUGCGCAGAUAUCAGGAGGAACACCGAUGGCGAAGGCAGAUCUCUGGGCCGCUACUGACGCUGAGGAGCGAAAGCAUGGGGAGCGAACAGGAUUAGAUACCCUGGUAGUCCAUGCCGUAAACGUUGGGAACUAGAUGUAGGGGCUGUUCCACGGCUUCUGUGUCGACGCUAACGCAUUAAGUUCCCCGCCUGGGGAGUACGGCCGCAAGGCUAAAACUCAAAGGAAUUGACGGGGGCCCGCACAAGCGGCGGAGCAUGCGGAUUAAUUCGAUGCAACGCGAAGAACCUUACCAAGGCUUGACAUAUGGAAGAACACUCUAGAGAUAGAGGACUCUUUGGACACUUUCAUACAGGUGGUGCAUGGUUGUCGUCAGCUCGUGUCGUGAGAUGUUCGGUUAAGUCCGGCAACGAGCGCAACCCUUGUCCUAUGUUGCCAGCACUUCGGGUGGGGACUCAUGGGAUACUGCCGUGGUUAACACGGAGGAAGGUGGGGAUGACGUCAAAUCAUCAUGCCCCUUAUGUCUUGGGCUUCACGCAUGCUACAAUGGCCGGUACAAAGGGCUGCGAUACCGUAAGGUGGAGCGAAUCCCAAAAAGCCGGUCUCAGUUCGGAUUGGGGUCUGCAACUCGACCCCAUGAAGUCGGAGUCGCUAGUAAUCGCAGAUCAGCAACGCUGCGGUGAAUACGUUCCCGGGCCUUGUACACACCGCCCGUCAAGUCAUGAAAGUCGGUAACACCCGAAGCCGGUGGCCUAACCAUUUUUUGGGGGGAGCUGUCGAAGGUGGGACUGGUGAUUAGGACUAAGUCGUAACAAGGUAGCCGUACCGGAAGGUGCGGCUGGAUCACCUCCUUU